rnacentral:rRNA from 1 species
UAAGGAAUAUUGGUCAAUGGACGCAAGUCUGAACCAGCCAUGCCGCGUGAAGGAUGAAGGUCCUCUGGAUUGUAAACUUCUUUUAUCUGGGACGAAAACGGGAUUUUUAUCUCAAUUGACGGUACCAGAGGAAUAAGCACCGGCUAACUCCGUGCCAGCAGCCGCGGUAAUACGGAGGGUGCGAGCGUUAUCCGGAUUUACUGGGUUUAAAGGGUGCGUAGGUGGGCUUAUAAGUCAGUGGUGAAAUCUCCGAGCUUAACUUGGGAACUGCCGUUGAUACUAUAGGUCUUGAAUUAUCUGGAGGUUAGCGGAAUAUGUCAUGUAGCGGUGAAAUGCUUAGAUAUGACAUAGAACACCAAUUGCGAAGGCAGCUUACUACAUAUAAAUUGACGCUGAGGCACGAAAGCGUGGGGAUCAAACA